GCCUCUUCGAGAUUCAGUGUUAUAUUAAAUGGUUUACACCUCCUCUCCUCAUCCUAAAGAAGCGUUGAAUCUCUUUCCAAGUUCCAAGUCCAUUCUCAGCGCACACUGACAACAUGCUGGUGACUCUCUGUGCUCUCAUCACUGUUCUAGCAAGUGUGAGUGGUGUGACGGUGCUGACACAGAAACCUGUUUUAUCAGUGAGGAAAGGAGAGACAGCCACCAUGGACUGUAACCUGGGGACUGUUACUAACAGUGGUGUUCGUUGGUAUAAACAGAUUUCAGGAUUUCCCCAGUUUGUGCUGUAUUUCAUUCAUAGCAGUAGUGUUCCAACCUAUGGCUCUGGGUUCUCCUCGCCAAAAUUCACAUCCACUCAUCAGUCAAGAUCAGAUUAUCGUUUGAUCAUCAACAAUGUGGAGGAGGGAGACUCUGCAGUCUAUUACUGUCAGACGUGGGACAGCUCUGUUAAUGAGCACGUAUUCGGACAAGGCACCAAGCUGAUUGUGACAGGCUCCAGCCUCCCUCCUCCUGUCCUGACAGUCUUCCCUCUGUCCAGUGCUGAGCUCCAGUCCAACACAGCUUCUCUGGUCUGUCUGUCCAGUCAGUCUGUGAAAUUUGUAGAUGUGAGCUGGUUGGCUGGUGGGAGUCCAGUGAGCAGUGGGAUCUCUACCAGCACUGCUGUUCAGAGACCAGACCAGACUUACCAAAUUAGCAGCUCUCUGACCAUCCAGACAUCAGACUGGAACAUGGAUAAGGUUUAUACAUGUAAAGUGUCUUUGGGCUCACAGACUUUAUACAAAACUAUCAAGAUGUCAGAAUGUCACACUGAAUAGUCGAGGAUCAGAAUG